UGCGUAGGCGGACUAAUAAGUCAGUGGUGAAAUCUCUCGGCUCAACCGGGAAACUGCCAUUGAUACUGUUAGUCUUGAGUUCGGUUGAGGUAGGCGGAAUGUGUAAUGUAGCGGUGAAAUGCUUAGAUAUUACACAGAACACCAAUUGCGUAGGCAGCUUACUAGACCGACACUGACGCUGAGGCACGAAAGCGUGGGUAGCGAACAGGAUUAGAUAUCCUGGUAGUCC
rnacentral:rRNA from 1 species